UACUGCAUCGUAAACGUGGUUCUUGAACUUGCCUCCUACGCACGAUAUAAUUGUCCACAGUGAAAUAUCAUUAUAAAAAAGAAAAAAUAUUCAUAAUAUCAAAAGCACAAAAUCAUUUUUAUUCAAAAUUCAAAAGUCAAAUAAUAUAUAUAUAUCACAUUUAUUGUACUAACUGAUCUAUAAUCUUAUAAAAUUGUAUAACUUUUCAAUCAUUUGUAUUAUUUCAGGAAAAUUAUUUUUCGAUUAAAGUUCAAGACUGAACGACGACAUAUAUUUCCAAGAAUCUUCCGUAAACAUUCCCAUAAUAAUCAUGACUGUAGUUAAAUGUAUCAUCGCUUAAGCCGCGAUGUACUUAAUCGUUCAAACGGAGAGGGAAAAAAAGGAGAAGCGAAUUAUCUGAGCCAAUGCAUCUUUCGUGUUACCAUAUGCAAUAUACUUUUUGUUGGCGUCGAUUUAUCGCAAUGCGUCGGUUACUUUGCAACCAAAAUCAAUUGUCUUCUGUAAAGAUGCCAAUAUCAACAAGACUUACAACCAAGUGUCACUUCUUAUGUAUCUAAACGAUGGAAAUCAUUUGCACAGAACUUUUUAUUUAACCAUUCAUGAUAUAAUAAUAAUAAAAAAAAAUACUACAGGUAAGAAGUAAAUUUAUUCUUUCUAAGAAUCUUAAAAGACAGAAGUCUAUUAUAUUUUAAGAAAUAAUAUAUUAUUAUACAUUGAAAAUUAUAUUAUUUAAAACCGAUAAUAAGUGAAAAUUCCGGCAAUAUGUAUGAUAUCAACUUUCUGCCAAAUAUAAUUAUCCUGCAAUGCAUAUAGAAUGAGAAUCGAAUGGUGUUAGUUAAAAAGCAUGGUGGUAAAGUUCUAUUUAUGCGGGGAAAAGAGUGUCGAUCAGACAAUGACCUCGAUAACGACAUGUUUCUAAAGGAGUAAGCCAGCAGGAGACAAUGGAUAUAUAAUAUCGCCUAUAAUUAGCCUCGUUAAAGCUGUCUCUAAUAAUAAGCAAAGCAGCCAGAUGCAAAACCGUGAGCUACGAUAAUCUGUCUUGGUAUACUUAAUAGUUAUUAAUAAAAUGCGCGAGUUAUCUUGCAUCCACAAACAUGUUUAAUUCUUAUCAAUACAGCAUGUGCGAUUUGAGAAUAUUACUGUACACAAUCCGCAGAGAGACUGCUCGGCAGAUAAAGCCUUUUAUGAUGAUGCUCAUUAUGCCUGGAGGCUGAACAGCAAACGGAAUUCCCUUAUCAAGGCGUGUUUAACCCUUUACGUACGGUAUAUAGAAUUAACCAUGGUAAACAAAUUAUAUUAACGACAAACAAAUGUUAAAAAAUUCAAAUAAAGUAAAAUUUAUGUGUUUGAAAAACGCUUUAGAAUUAUUUUGUUUGCAACGUACUAAGAUAUAUUUUAUAGAAUGUAUUUCUGCAGAAAGAUUCUUCUUAUAUCCAUCAAUUAUUUCACACUAUGUUGUAAUAAAAAUAUCAUUUUCUAAGAAUAACAAAUCAUUAUAUUACUUACAUCUAAUCAAAAUCUAUUAUCGUUCAAAUAAUAAUUAAACAUUUUUGUUUAUCAAUUUAGGAUAAAGAACACUGAAAUUAUAAUUCAACAUUAAAAAAGAAAAUUUUCCGAUUAAUACUGAUCGAUUAAUAAUAACGAGAUGCUGCAAAAUGUGUUGUAUAAAAACAGAUUUUAUUAUCUAUUAUUAUCAUUAUUCGAUAUAACACACGAAGGAAAUUGCUCUAGUGAUAAGAAAUAUAUAGCGGUUUAUAUAAAAUUCUAUAAUGUAUUCGAUCGGAUUUCUAUUUCACGGAAUGAACACUACGCGAGUGCAAAGACUGGAGAUUCGCGGUUGCCGCAGCAGAUAAAUAUUAUUGCAACUCUGAAACGCUCGAACCACUUGAUAGUAUAAAUAUAUCUCAUUGGAGACGAGGGCAAACACGCGAACGCGCCAACGUUGCAUUGUUGAAUACGCUAAGCAAACAAGAUCGAGCCUACAGCCGUGAUGGAAUCUCGCUUUCGAUUCUAUGAUGAUCGCUGCCGAGUACAACAAUUAUUGCACGGUACAAUUGCCAACGCUAUUCCGAGUAUUUAAUUAGACUAUGCAGCCUGUUGUUACUCGAUGACACAUCUCCAUUGGGUUUCUCUGCACGGAUUCUUGUGGAUUUCUGUUUGUCAAGUGACUAAUAUAUACAAAUCGGAAUAAUAAUGAAAAGUAUGAUAUAUGUAUAAUAAAGUAUGAAUGAUUUGCAUUUUUGUCUAUAAGGAUAUAUAAGGAUCUAUAAGUAUAAUCUUUUUUAUAUAUAACGUAUAUAUGUAUAUAUACAUUGAAGAUAAAGACUAGAUUUAAAAAAUAAAUUAAAAAUAUAUUUAAAAUUGUAA